UUUUUGUUUAAUUCUGGCUAUUGGAGAGUAAUUAAUUGUUUCCACAUAAAUGGUUUUUAGAUUUUUCUUAGAUGUUAUUUAUUUGAGGGUUUAGUGGUAAGAGCUUGGUCAAUAUGGGGACAUAGAUUAGGGCAAUUAUUCGGUUUACAGAUGGAUAAUUCACAGUGCCAGCAUCCGCGGUUAUUCUGUUGUCUGACUCUUCUUUGUUGGUUAAAAUAGAUUUAUUUUUAUGAGCUAAUAGCUGCAAUAGGUGUUUUUAGUUUCUAAAAUAUGGUUUAAGGUGUAGUUUAGAUGAUUUGUUUAGGAUAGGGAUUAGAGACCCCUUUACUAAAUUUGGAGUUUUUUCCAUGGUUUCAACUAAAAGGAUUUGGCAGCCGAUGAAUUUCGUCCGGGGGAGUGUGCUUCUUAAACAGAUGGUACACUAAUAAAUUUUCCAUUUUUAUUUUAGUUAGUGUAUAUCCGAUUUAAUAUUUGUGAUUAGUUUUAUAAUGAAUGUAUAUCUUAAAUUUAAGUCAGGUCGAUGUGCUGCUAAUAAUUUGGGUGAUUGUGCAUUACAUUUUAAAUUUGUGGUAUGUAAUAGCUUAUAUAAUUUAGGACUCGGUAGUAGGAUUUUUUAAGUUUGACUGUUCGAAUAUGAUUUAGUUGGGGUACACAUCGCCCGUCAGUUUCAACGGUAGUUGGGAUAAGUCGUAACAUGGUAACGGUUGGGGAACCAGUCGUUAGUUGGCC
rnacentral:rRNA from 1 species